GAUGAACGCUGGCGGCGUGCCUAAUACAUGCAAGUCGAGCGAACAGACGAGGAGCUUGCUCCUCUGACGGUAGCGGCGGACGGGUGAGUAACACGUGGAUAACCUACCUAUAAGACUGGGAUAACUUCGGGAAACCGGAGCUAAUACUGGAUAAUAUAUUGAACCGCAUGGUUCAAUAGUGAAAGACGGUUUUGGUGUCACUUAUAGAUGGAUCCGCGCCGCAUUAGCUAGUUGGUAAGGUAACGGCUUACCAAGGCGACGAUGCGUAGCCGACCUGAGAGGGUGAUCGGCCACACUGGAACUGAGACACGGUCCAGACUCCUACGGGAGGCAGCAGUAGGGAAUCUUCCGCAAUGGGCGAAAGCCUGACGGAGCAACGCCGCGUGAGUGAUGAAGGUCUUCGGAUCGUAAAACUCUGUUAUUAGGGAAGAACAACUGUGUAAGUAACUAUGCACGUCUUGACGGUACCUAAUCAGAAAGCCACGGCUAACUACGUG
rnacentral:rRNA from 1 species